rnacentral:rRNA from 1 species
CGUGUAGGCUGCUCCGAAAGUCAGGUGUGAAAGCCCCGGGCUCAACCUGGGAAGUGCACUUGAAACCUCGGAGCUUGAAUGCCGGAGAGGGUAGCGGAAUUCUCGGUGUAGAGGUGAAAUUCGUAGAUAUCGAGAGGAACACCGGUGGCGAAGGCGGCUACCUGGACGGCUAUUGACGCUGAGACGCGAAAGCGUGGGGAGCAAACAGGAUUAGAUACCCUGGUAGUCCACGCCGUAAACGAUGGGUGCUAGGUGUCGCGGGCUUUGACCCCUGCGGUGCCGUAGCUAACGCAUUAAGCACCCCGCCUGGGGAGUACGGUCGCAAGACUAAA